AUGCUCUCCGCCGUGUUCUCCUCCGGCACCUCGAAGGUCUUGAGGCAGCGCGAGCCCAUGGAGAGGCAGCCCGGGGGCACCCGCGUCCAGGAAGUGGGCGCCCAGCGUCACGUAGGUGCGGUUCUCGUUCUCGCUCCUCCACAUGUCCGUGGAGAUGCUGCAACAGGUGGCCUCAGCCAGCUCCUGGAGGACCGCCUUGCGGACGGUGCAGUACUUCUCAGGGAUGGCCUUGGUGGAGAUGUACUUGCGGCUGAGGAGCUCCUAGCGGGCGUCGGCCAUCUUGAGCAGCACCUUGAAGGUGGGCUCGUCCACGAUGGAGGCCGGGUACAGCUGAAGAGCACAAGUCUGUCAGCUCCUACUGCAUUGGCUUACAGUAUACUAUUAGAAAUCCUCUGAAGUCUCCAGCCCCCACGGGCCGGCACGGUGGCUCAUGCCUGUAAUCCCAGCACUUUGGGAGGCUGAGGCGGGUGGGUCACGAACUCAAUAGAUCGAGACCAUUCUGGUCAACAAGGUGAAAUCCCGUCUCUACUGAAAAUACAAAAAAUUAGCUGGGCAUGGUGGCGCGUGCCUGUAAUCCCAGCUACUCAGGAGGCUGAGGCAGGAGAAUUGCCUGAACCCAGGAGGUGGAGAUUGUGGUGAGUCGAGAUCGCGCCGUUGCACUCCAGCCUGGGUUAAAAGAGCGAAACUCCAUCUCAAAAAAAAAAAAAAAAAGAAAUCCUCUGAAGUCUCCAGCCCCCACAUAAGAAGUGUUGCGCAUGACACCUGUUACAUACGGCCCACCUCCUUGCCUCGGUGACCUAAUAGGAGUGGACCCCUUUUCUGUACAUGACUCUCUACUACUGCACACGACCCUCUCUGCCCAAGUGACAUAAUGGGGUGGCCCCCUCACUUGGGACUCACAUGAUUAUGUAUGCCCUAUUACUAAGCCUAUAGAUGAUGACGUCACUUACGACCCUGCCCCCCCUGCUUGUACCUAAUAAAUACAGAUGCUUCUGGGCAUUUGGGGCGCUCGCUGAUCUCUGCUCACAGAUUGCAAUGCCCCCCGCCCCCGGAGUCCAGAUGUUCUUCACUAGUUCUUCAGUGUCCUGUUUCUUUACUUCUCUGUCUCCUGUACCUCAGCACAGCAUAAGGGACACCCCACGACCCUGUGGGGCCUUACAGCCCUACAUCAAGAGCCACCCACUGCUCGCCUGGGCGUGGCGUGGCCGGGCGAGAAUAGCUAAGAGUCCGUGCCUAUGGCGCCACAGUACCCUCAUUCCUUAGCCCGUGUGGGACUCCCGGGCGGGGCCCAGUCACGUACUGGUGGGCCUCGUGGACUGGUGGAGGGUGAGGGGGGCAGGGAGCCUCCUCGUGACUCAGGGCCUUUGGGCUUCAAGGCGCCGCAGCCUUGCCCGGGGUGGCCGGUGGGGCCUCCGAGCCGCACUACGGCCUCCGGGCGCCCACGAGCGUCUGUCCAGACGGGAGGUGACGACAGAAAGGAGCCCUGGGGCCCAGAACACUUCUUUCUCACCCUGCCGUCACACCCGAAGCCGCUAGCGCUGGAAGCUCACGCCCCACUAUGGGUCUCUUUCGCACCCGCUGCGGAGUGAGGAGGAAGCCGGGCGGGGCGGGACGGGGCGGGGCUGCUGACGCCAUAGACCCCGCGCUGUGUGGAGAGCCCCACGACGGCGGCGGCCUCGGCCCCUUUAAGGCGGAGGGAUCAAGCCCCUCGUGCGGCUUCCCAAGCCCGGGAAGGUCACGUGGCUUCACACCUUCGCUUGGCGCGGGAGUCCUGAGGCGAGGCUGGUGGAGUAGUGGGGCGCGAGGGCGGAAAACUGGCGGGGCUUCGCGUCCGCGAGACCCAAGGGGCUGUCGGCUUUGAGGUGGGCUCUGGGGUCGUGGGUGGGAGAGGGGUAGGCGUGCAGGCCGUGGAGGUGGCGCACACGGGGAGAGGUCGGAGCCCGAGUCGGGCUGUGCUGUGCAGACCCUGCGGCCUGGCGAGCGGGUGCAUGUGGUCUCGGCGUUCUGGUCAUUCUUCUCAGUGCCGGAGGAGGCCAGGUCUCCAGACUCAGGUCCGGCCUCAGGUUUGGUGGAGCAGCGGCUGGGGCGCUGGACUGGCCGCUUCCCUUGACGAACUGGUUGGGCGGGCCUGUGCCCGCCUGGAGUCACCCGGGAGUUGUGGGGACUCACCCACAAAGGGGCUCUCACCUUGGGGUGUCCCAGCCGGCGUCAUUCCCCGGGGCUGCUGCUUCUCUCGUGGGUUCCUGUGCGGUCGAGUCGACCGAGGCUUUGCUGCCUCAUUCCUAGGGGGCCCCGGGAGGCCAGAGGCCCCGUGAGCGGCCCCGCUGGCCCCGGGACCCGACCGAGAAAAGCCAGGCGGGCUCCUGGGCUUUCGGGCGCCUUCGUGGGCGCGCGCUUGAUUUCUCGGUGGCACUUUGCUCCCUGCAGGCUUGGCCCCUUGCACCGUGCUGUCAGCUAGGGUUCCUCCCGUGGGGAAGAGUCGGGAGCGGAAUCCGCCCUUAGAAGCCGGAUUGCCUCGGGCCAGGCUGGCCCGGGAGGAGGCGGCGUCCCUCCUCCCCCGCCCCGCGCCUGCUGCCCGGCCCUGACUGACGCCCUAUUUCUCUGGCAACUGCUUCCCUUGGUCUCCCUGGCUACCGCCCUGCCUCCCUGCACUGUCUCCUGGCACCUGAGUCAACCACUGGGCUGCGUGGUUGAUGGGGACGAGGGGAAAGUGGGUGGGGUUCCUAUUGUGGAAGGCACAGGUGCACCGCCCGCCUCUUGGCUGCCCCUCAGGUGACGGGGCUGUCCCUUGCCAGCGGGAAGAGUGUCUGCUGAGGACAGUUUGCACCCUGAGGCUCGUGUUCCCUUUCAGUCUAGGUACCCACGUGGGUUAAAAAAUAAAAAAUUCAAACAGAACCUAACCUUGGAAACCUCAAAUUGGUGAUUGUUUUCCUGAUUGUUUUUUUGCACAGUUAGAAAAACUUGUGGAGCUCAGGGGGAUGUUGGAAAACCCUGGGGACCGUGUUUUUGGGACUCAUCACGGAUUUUUUACUUGUCCCCGUUGAACUGGCUUGGAGCUGAGCUAUAUUCCCAGACUAAGUUGCUGUAGAGUUUGGCUUUGUAAAUUUUUUGUCAUGGCGAUUUGAACUCUGGGUGGCCUGGUAGCGCCUGCUCAGUUUAUAGAAAUAGGAUUUGGAAGUUGACUACCCUGUGUGUAAGUCAACCUUUGUAGUAUAAAAAUACUUUGCUUCCCCCCUUCGAACGGCUUGUCUUAUAAACAACUCCCUGGCCUAGGCUCCCGCGAGCGGGAGGGAGGUUGUGCCAGCCUGUGCAGAACUUUGGGGGGUUGGAGAGCUGAUGCCUGUGGUGAAUGAUGGUGGGAACACUGGCACUUUGGGUUAGGCCAUAGGCGUUCCAUGGGCUUUUCUUUCACUGUAGUACACAAACCAGUGCUGGUGAAGGGGAAAGUGGAGGAGCAUGAUAAAGUACUAGGACUCCAGGCUCAGCACCAAACUUAACUAGUGAGCCAAUGAUAAUAGCUGCCUUAAUAAGCAUUUUCACUGAGCACAACCAUUUAUCUUUAAUAUGGGUUGCAAACUCAAACCCUGCAGGGGCCUGAGAUAACAUAAAUGAGCAGAGGAGGAGGAGGAAGGAAAGGUAAUGGCUGCUGAACUACAGAGUAUAUGCCUCUCUGAAAGAAGUGGUCACUAGCUGAUUGUUGCCAAGAAAAAGCAUGGGCCCAGAGUUGAUGGAUCUUUUGACUUGGAGGGGAGCUGCCAUGUUGGUUUCAUGCUGUCUUUUCAUUUUGAUUAAUCUGACUUUUAAAUGUAUUAUUAAAAUUUUUUUAAACACUAUGGACCAAAUGUAACAUGUCUUUAUUGUUGGAUUCAACCUGAAGGCUAGUUUGGAAUCUGUCUUAAAACAUCCCUGUUGGAUUUCCCUGCUAUUUUGCAGAAAAAGAAACAGGCUUAGAAAUGAAGUCACAAGGCUGGCAGGACCUGUCAUUGGAGCGCUGGCUGCAUUCCUCCUCCUUUCUUCUUGCUGUCCUCCAUCCUCCAUUCUGUCCUCAGGGAGUCUUCCUCAGGCCUAAGAGUCUGAACCCCAGUCUGCUCUGGGUGUGUGGAUUUGUUUCAGCUACCCUGAUGUCUGCAUUUCCAAGUCCUGACUCUUUUGAGCCAUCCCAGUGGAUUUCUGCCACUGGCCCACAGGAGUAGAGGGCAGGCUGUGACUGUGUGACCAACAAGGUGUGUGAUGUGUGUGUGUGCACACAUGAGUGUGAGAGUGUAAGAAUGGCCCCCAGCCCCGGGCUAGAACAGAAGCAGCUGGGGAAGGAGCCUGGGGGCCGUAGGCAAUCUGAUUUUUUCCCUCCACCUCACCGCCCCUGCCCCUCCCUACCUGGUCUACACCGAUGUGCUAGGGGUGGCUGCAGGGGCAGAGAUGGGAGUGGCUGAAGCCUUCUCCACUCCCAAAGAUUUCUAAGGAAAAGCGUUCUACUGCACCUUUUGGCUUGGCCCUGUUGACCCAUGGCCCUCUUUCAAGGAGGGCCUGUUUGCCCCGUUUGAAUGUGCCCAGUGUGCCCUGUUUCCACCGGCCACAAUCUCUAUGGAAGAACAAUGGCAUCUGUUUUUGUUUCCAAAUGGCUGGAGGGUGGGGCUGUGGGUCCAGCGCCCAUAUAACCAAAACAAGGGGGGAUUGGGGCUUGCCCUAGGAUGUGCAGAUGUCCAACGUAGAUGGGUAGAGGCAAGCAGCAUGGUAUUGGGCAAGAGCACUGGACUGGGAGUCCAGAGAUGCUGCCUCACGCUGGGCCUUUAAGCAAAUCCCUUUCCCUUCCACAGCCUCAGCAUCUCUUCUAUCAAAUGAUGAUGUUCUGCCUUUCUCCCAGGGUGGUUAUGAAGAUCAAGGAAGACAGUGGCCAUAGGGAUGCUGUGUUAACAGUAGAUGUGGCCAUAUGAGCACUUUGCUAACUGCCGAUGUGAGUUCAGACUCUUCAGAGUUGGUGCCCAGGUCUAUGGUGAGGUGUGACAUAUGGGAUGUAAGGUUUGAUGCCUGCCCCGGCUCCAGUCUUGGUAACACACAUGAAAUGUUUCGCAAAUCAUGGCCCUGCCUUGGGGAAAAGAGCAGUCUGGGAGAGUUUCUUCAAGGCAGCCUGACUUCUCUGCGGUCUGGGGCAUGACUGAGAUAGGCUUACAUGGCAAAGAAUUGGAGGGUAUCUGGAUAAAGAGCUGCAGUGUGGGCAGAGGUGUAGUGUGGGCCGCAUGGAGGACAGCCACUGGCCAAAGCAGGGAACAGAG
ensembl:lncRNA